rnacentral:lncRNA from 1 species
GCGGCGCUGCCCUCCGCAACCGCAGCGGCCGUCGCGGGGGCCGUGGUGCGCGCUCCGAAGGAGCCGCUAGCUGUUCUCACCCCGCGUUAAGCCCCUUUUGUGGCCUUCGUGAAUGCAGAAGGUCGGUGUAGGAAACGAAGUGGGCGCCUGGAGAGGCCCGGUGGUGCCCCAGGUCCUGCCCCGCCCGCAGGAGGCUUCGCGGAGCGGCUCGCAGCCCGGCACAGUCUUCUGUUCCUCAGCUUUUUAUGUCCCCCCAAGUUUCCCUGCGACACUUCCCAAAUAUUGGAAUCCUUGGGUUACUCAGUUACAUGAAAUCAUGCACAGAUAGAAGACAUUGUGAGACUCAGAAAUGCUAAGGUCUGACACUUUCAACAGGAAUGACAAAAGAAAAAAGAAUCUCCAGAAUGAAGUACUGUCUUUUCUCGACAGCUUAUCUUACUGUCUG